UAUUACAAUCUUUACACUACACCACAACCCAGAUAUACCUACUACUGCCAACUAUUACAAUACAUAUACCUCUUUGUUGAUACGCUUCGUAGCUUCACACUUGGCUUUGUACUUCUCCUGUGCAAAAAAUAAGAAUAAGAUGUGAACUAACACUUUAGGUAUUUAAAUAACAGCAUUUACAAAAAAAGUGUGAACUAACACUACAGGUUGUCAUAUACAAAAAUAGUAGGUUGUUCAAGUGCAGACGAGGUCGACUUCAAAAGCUAAAAUUGCAUCGACUACUGUCUGCAAUAGUUAAAAUAUACAAGAAAUUUGUUCAUAUACAAGAAAAGUAGGUUGUCUGCUUCCAGUGG
rnacentral:lncRNA from 1 species